rnacentral:rRNA from 1 species
GAUCCUGGCUCAGGAUGAACGCUGGCGGCGUGCCUCAUACAUGCAAGUCGAACGCGCAGCGAGAGGUGCUUGCACCUUUCAAGCGAGAGGCGAACGGGUGAGUAACACGUGGAUAACCUGCCUCAAGGCUGGGGAUAACAUUUGGAAACAGAUGCUAAUACCGAAUAAAACUUAGUAUCGCAUGAUAUCAAGUUAAAAGGCGCUACGGCGUCACCUAGAGAUGGAUCCGCGG